CCUACGGGAGGCAGCAGUGAGGAAUAUUGGUCAAUGGACGAGAGUCUGAACCAGCCAAGUAGCGUGAAGGAUGACUGCCCUAUGGGUUGUAAACUUCUUUUAUCUGGGAAUAAAAUGUUCCACGUGUGGGAUUUUGUAUGUACCAUAUGAAUAAGGAUCGGCUAACUCCGUGCCAGCAGCCGCGGGAAUACGGAGGAUCCGAGCGUUAUCCGGAUUUAUUGGGUUUAAAGGGAGCGUAGGUGGAUUGUUAAGUCAGUUGUGAAAGUUUGCGGCUCAACCGUAAAAUUGCAGUUGAAACUGGCAGUCUUGAGUACAGUAGAGGUGGGCGGAAUUCGUGGUGUAGCGGUGAAAUGCUUAGAUAUCACGAAGAACUCCGAUUGCGAAGGCAGUUCACUGGACUGCAACUGACACUGAGGCUCGAAAGUGUGGGUAUCAAACAGGAUUAGAUACCCUUGUAGUC
rnacentral:rRNA from 1 species